GAUGAAGAACGUAGCGAAAUGCGAUAAGUAAUGUGAAUUGCAGAAUUCAGUGAAUCAUCGAAUCUUUGAACGCACCUUGCGCUCCUUGGUAUUCCUUGGAGCAUGCCUGUUUGAGUAUCAUGAGCAAAUCUCAAAGUCAAUUCCUUUUGUUAAUUCAAUUGGUUUUGCUUUGGACUUGGAGGUCUUGCAGAUUUUCACAGUCUGCUCCUCUUAAAUGCAUUAGCUGGAUCUCAGUAAUUAUGCUUGGUUCCACUCGGCGUGAUAAGUAUCACUCGCUGAGGACACUGUUAAAAAGGUGGCCAGGAAAAUACUGAUUGAACCGCUUCUAACGGUCUAUUAAGUUAGACAAUUACCCUUAAGUUUGAUCUCAAAUCAGGUAGGACUACCCGCUGAACUUAAGCAUAUCAAUAAGCGGAGGA
rnacentral:misc_RNA from 1 species